AUGUCCCUUGAUGCAAUUCAAGAAAGAUUUGAUAAUUAAAUAGCUUUUAUUAGAUCGCGCUAGCAAAUGGUUUUAAAGAAAAAGUUUGUGUUCUUGCUAAAACCGCUUAUCAGUUAAACGAUAACGAAAUUCCAGAAAAGGUAGUGUUUUUGAAGCGCAAAUUGAUGUAAAAUGACAAUGGUGAUUGGUUUACAUACAUAUAUUGAAAAUGACUUAAAUUUUCCAAUUCAAUGACUUAAAUUUUCCAAUUCAAUUUUACAAUUUUUCUGUUUUAUAUACGCUUAGGUACGUAAUAAAUGGACGGCUGUCUCUAUGCGAUCAAAAGAAUUCCUUUGAAUCCAAAAAGUGUACUGUUCAAUCACAAAAUUACUCGAGAAGUGAAGUUACUUUCUAGAUUGAAUCAUGAAAAUAUUGUAAGAUAUUAUAAUUCGUGGAUUGAGGUAGAAGAAAUAUCUGAAAAUGAAACUUCCAACAGUGAAACAAAAUCAAGCAUGACAGAGGAGAAACAACGACGCCAGGUUAAAGAUAGCUUGAUGAAAUUGAACGUAGUUGAAGCACAUAGCGUACGCUCGAGAGUCUUGGAUAAGGACUCGUGGACCAAUGAAAACACGAAUGAUUCCAAGCAUGUUGACGACUAUAAAAGCUCGUGUGAGGACGAGGUUACAAUACAAACACAAUCCACAAAUAACAACGAGUCUACCGAAGAUAUUUUCAAAAGAAACAUCGAUGAAUCCACAUAUACAGUUUGGAAGCUCGUUGUCUCACGUGGUAUAUAGUCGUGGGAACUGUUAAUGAUGUUACUGAAGAUAUGUAAAAAUAAUUACCGGAAUCUUGCCUUUAGGACGAGAAAUCUGAUUUCGAAUGUGAACAGGAAGCAAUCACCACAAGAGAUUUUAACGUUGAUCGAAAGUGUACUCUACAAUCUUUGUAUAUGUAGAUGGCACAUUGUAAGAAGAGUACUCUAAGAAAUGUUAUCAACGAGAGAUAGUACAAGGACGAAAAGAAAAUGUGUCGGCUUCUCCGUGAGAUUGUAGAAGGAUCAGUUCACGUUCAUUCACAGCAUACACAACGAGAGAUCCGGCAGUUGCAACAAAAGUAAAAAAAAAGUUACAACUUCAGACGCUUUAAGUUUAGCAAUAACUAAAAUAGCAGUAGCAGCAAGAACUACAACAUCGUUCAAGUAGCAAACAAAGUUCAAAGUCUUUUGAGCAACAUAUACAGACCAUGGAACAUAAAAAAUUGAUUUCAAGCAAAAUAUCUCUUCUAGCCUAAUGUUGUAAAUUUUCAUCAAUAAAUGUUAGAAUUUGUCAAAUA